GCCCCUGUGGUGGAAUUGGUAGACGCGCCGGACUCAAAAUCCGGUUCCGCAAGGAGUGUCGGUUCGACCCCGACCGGGGGCACCA
rnacentral:tRNA from 1 species